CAGAGCUCCGCCCACCUCUGAUGCGUCGUCGCUAUUGGCGGACUCGCCUCACCCCACCUCCUCCGAUGUUCUCCAUGAUGCCUCAGUGCAGGCAUCUCCUCCUCCUUCUUCAUGCAAGUCUCUGCAGACCGAUGAGCAGGGGGACGCGCUGCAGGCUGAAAUCAGGAACCUGCACAGAGAUAAGUGGCUGCUGGAGCAGCAGCUGGGGGCGUGGCGCCUCACCGUCCAAUCAGAGCAGGCGGUUCUGGAGGACAGGUGCUCUGAGAUGGAGGCUACCAUGGAAACCGUGAGACAGCAAAACCACAGACUGCAGGACAUGCUCACACAGG